CACGGAGUUAGCCGAUGCUUAUUCGUACUGUACUUGCAAGAAAGGACACGUCCUCUUUUUUACCCCAGUACAAAAGAAGUUUACAACCCAUAGGGCAGUCAUCCUUCACGCGACUUGGCUGGUUCAGGCUCUCGCCCAUUGACCAAUAUUCCUCACUGCUGCCUCCCGUAGGAGUCUGGUCCGUGUCUCAGUACCAGUGUGGGGGAUAAACCUCUCAGUUCCCCUAUCCAUCGUUGCUUUGGUGAGCCGUUACCUCACCAACUGGCUAAUGGAACGCAUGCCCAUCUACUACCAAUUAAUCUUUAACAAUAUCACAUGCGGUGCCCCUGUAUUAUGCGGCAUUAAUCCGUAAUUUCUUCGGGCUUACUUCCCCUGUAGUUAGGUAGGUU
rnacentral:rRNA from 1 species